GUGGGGAAUAUUGGACAAUGGGCGAAAGCCUGAUCCAGCCAUGCCGCGUGUGUGAAGAAGGCCUUUUGGUUGUAAAGCACUUUAAGCGAGGAGGAGGCUACCGAGAUUAAUACUCUUGGAUAGUGGACGUUACUUGCAGAAUAAGCACCGGCUAACUCUGUGCCAGCAGCCGCGGUAAUACAGAGGGUGCGAGCGUUAAUCGGAUUUACUGGGCGUAAAGCGUGCGUAGGCGGCUUUUUAAGUCGGAUGUGAAAUCCCUGAGCUUAACUUAGGAAUUGCAUUCGAUACUGGGAAGCUAGAGUAUGGGAGAGGAUGGUAGAAUUCCAGGUGUAGCGGUGAAAUGCGUAGAGAUCUGGAGGAAUACCGAUGGCGAAGGCAGCCAUCUGGCCUAAUACUGACGCUGAGGUACGAAAGCAUGGGGAGCAAACAGGAUUAGAAACCCCUGUAGUCC
rnacentral:rRNA from 1 species